ACUAUUAGUCGUUGUAAAGAUAAACAGCAGCAGGCUAGACGAAGUGACCUGAAGCUAUUGCACAUCGCUCUUGUCCGCAAAUCAUGGCGGAAAGCGAAAUUUCGGUUAUGUCUUCCGUGGCAUCGACGGGGGAGUCUGCUAUUUCAAGUGGACAGCAAGAGG